rnacentral:rRNA from 1 species
AGCGACUGUGCAGGUUACCGCGGCUGCUGGCACGGAGUUAGCCGGUGCUUCUUCUGUGAGUGAUGUCCUUCCUGCCGGUUAUUGACCCGCAGGCCUUCUUCCUCACUGAAAGUGCUUUACAACCCGAAGGCCUUCUUCACACACGCGGCAUGGCUGGAUCAGGGUUGCCCCCAUUGUCCAAUAUUCCCCACUGCUGCCUCCCGUAGGAGUCUGGGCCGUGUCUCAGUCCCAGUGUGGCUGAUCAUCCUCUCAGACCAGCUACGGAUCGUCGCCUUGGUGAGCCGUUACCUCACCAACCAGCUAAUCCGACAUAGGCUCAUCCGAUAGCGCGAGGCCCGAAGGUCCCCCGCUUUCCCCCGUAGGGCGUAUGCGGUAUUAGCCUGGGUUUCCCCAGGUUAUCCCCCGACUACCGGGCAGAUUCCUAUGCAUUACUCACCCGUCCGCCGCUCGCCACCNGGGAGCAAGCUCCCCGUGCUGCCGCUCGACUUGCAUGUGUU